CCAAACAACCUGCUGUCCCAACAUACUGCUGCCCCUGAACACUCCAUUGUGCGAACGCCCUCCUGUAGGGACA